GCAGCAUUUCUCAGUCAGAUCCACUCCUCGCUCCACACCUCCACACCCUGAACAGCUUCUACACCAGGAUGUUGGUGGGUUUUCUCCCACAAACCGUUGGCUUCAGGCCGUUUUACAGCAUUUCUGUUGGAUUCAGGAACCAAGACGCCAGGAGAGGAACUGAGGUCUGAGAGGACCUGGGGAGACUUCAGCCGUGAACCAUGAUGUGAAUGUGCUGCGGUGAGUCUUUGUCAGUGUGUGUGGUUGUGGCAAUGAAGGAGCACGUCAGGCCCGCAGCAGCUCUCUGAUGUUCUUGAAUAGUUUGUGUCGUGAUCAUCAGUGAUGUCCAGCUCCCGCCAACUCUUCAUGCAGAUGUGAUGAAUUCAGAGCCACAAAAACAUUUCCAACAUUUACUGUGGAGCAGACAAAAAGCUUCCCGGGGAGGCUGGCGAAUAUUCAGGUCAGCGUUCAGUGACGAGGUGAAUCCAGCUUCAGCGAAGACGAGCGAGGAGCGCUCUGACUGCAGGUGGCUGGCUUCCUGUGUGGUUCUCCUGGUGUGGGAAAUUUGUCUGUAACCUCAGUGGACCAAAUGCCUGCCGCGCCCUCGCUGAGGGUUUCCCACAGAAGCAGCAUCGUGUGGAGGAAGCCUGUUUACACUCACAUUUACA